AAGGCAAGCAAAGUCGUUUGAGAAAGUAAAGACAUUAAGACAUUCAACUGCCAACGAAGAAUAAAUUUUAACGGAUGUAGGAAGAAUCGUUUGUAAAAAGUGCAGACAAAUGCAAAAUGGUAUUAUUAAUAAGUAACAUCAUUAGAGGCCGUUCUUUCUAACCACUCACACCUCUGAAUCAUCACGGGGUUCCCUGACUUCCUAGCUCUCUCUACCCUCCAGCAGUGACGCCCCUUCUCCCAAUCAUUGUCAGGGAUUUAAGUGCCAUAGUCAAAGAGAACCUUAUUAUCUACCUGCUCCCCCAGCUUCUCUCUGAGUGACACACCACCCACGCCUCCCCCGCACAGCUUUCCUCCUCCCAGGGCUCUCAGAAGGAAUGUGAGGAGCAGGAGAGGGAGCCCAAGGCUACCCUCGCCUGAACCCCAAAAAGACGAGGCUUUAAGACCCUUAUUCACCCACUGAGUCUAUGCCUUGGCGGUUCUGCCAACCCCCGCCGCGCGCUGCGGGAGUGUAAGCCAGUCCUGCGCUGCGCUUCCAGCUGCGUCUGCCCGAGCGCGGCACGUGCUCCCGGCGCUGGCGCGAGAGAGCGAGCGCCACCGCCGCGGGCCCCGCAGCCGUUCUGCCUGCUGUCACCGCUGCCUCCAUCGCCGACACUAGCGCUCCAGCUGCAGCCAAGGCCGCUACGAGAGCGCAGGAAGCCCUCGAGGAGCGGCUGCCUGGGGGCGCAAGGCUCAGGGCGCGCACCUGGUUUAGAAGAUCGUGACCACAUGGAUCAUCUAACUGAAUGGUACAUGGGGACACAAUGGUCCUAUAGAGAAUAUAUGUGAAUUGUUGGCUAAUUUCUUGAUUUGCGACUCAACAUAGGACAUCGCUUGUUCAUAUCUAUCAGAACACUCCUGAAUUUUCCCCACCAUGCUAUCUUUAUUA
rnacentral:lncRNA from 1 species